ACUGUCAUGCAUAAACUCUCGCGUACCUAUAAUUAUGUAUCGGUACAGUUGUGUUCGAGAAAUCGUGAUCAUUGAAUCGAGAACUCAGAUUAGAACAACAUCAAUUUUACUAAUUUUAAGUUGUAUAUAAAAUGAUUAAAAGUACAGUUCGUAACCAACAAAUUUGGGAAAUUGAAUAAUCUCUGAUAACAUUCUUCUUGUAAGCUGAUGGAAAACAAUCUGUCGCCUGAAAUUCAACGCCCCGACAGUAAUUUAACAAAUUAUCUGUAAUUUAUGAUAGCCGAACCCGUCUGGAUGAAGUUUCUAUAGUUUAGCAGUCUAAUUAUCUUCAAUUGUCUCGACCGAGGCAAACAAUCGACCAGCGCCAUCAUUUUUACAUUCACAUUAGAUGCAAAUCAGUUAUCGUCCUCGAAAAACGAUACCUGCCGAUAGGAAAGCUAUGCCCGACGCCUUGGGACUGAAAUCCGAGAAAAUUGUGACCCAUCGUCGCCGGUCGCCAGUGCCAUUGGCUGUGUGCGACCUUUGUGUGGAAGACCCCAAUUCGGGUGGAAAUAUUUAUGUUUGUCUGUUGCCUGCCGGGGCCAUUGUUUUGUUUGGUGCGUUCCUGUUUUUUUUUUUGUUUUGCUCCUGUCUGCACAACAACACUACCUGGAUGUUAUGAAAACUGUGCACACGCGAUCACGAUCUCGGUUCUACCUGGGGGCCGCCGACUGACCCACAUUCGGGUUCUGUUUAGCAGGACAGAAAAUAAUGGUCACGUAUAUAAAGUGCCCACCGGAAAGUGCUUAGCAUGACAGUUCGCUGCUCGGAUCGAUCGGUGUGACAGCGCUUAUGAGUUCAUCGUUGCAAAUUAAACAAGAAAAAAGUCCGAGAACUGAACUAGCAACAGUUCAACCUGGUGUCGUCGGCCCGGAAAGCACUGGAAGCAAAGUGCAGUUUAAGCAGAAAGUGCUGUCGGUUGUGUUGAUAGGUUAGCAAA